rnacentral:lncRNA from 1 species
CAAACAUGAAGCGUAGAACGGUCCCACGCUACUAGCACUUUGGUCAUCCCUAGCGAGAUGUCUUGUUCACUUGGGCUUAUGAGUCGAAUCUAUCGACCAUUCAUCAAUGUUUUCUCUCAUAAUAAAUUAGCCAACAAUACUUUCUGACAUGAUUUAUCAACCAAACAAAACAAAGCUGCAUGCUCUCUCUCCCACAUCCGAUAGAUUUGAGAGGCUACUUCGACGACCGCUGGAGGUGCCCUGAGAUCCGAACCUGUCUAUCUGGUCACCUUCGGCAUUUCCCUCUGCCGUCCGUCUAGUACGUGCCGCAUUGGUUGCUAGAUCUCUCAUCUGAUGCGCCGGCGAUCAAGCUGAACCACAACCUGAGAAGUGAGAACCUAACCGGCGGAGGAGACACGAGGAAUCACUCACUCACCCACCACCGAUCGUGUCAGUAUCAGGCAGUUCACUGGACAGUAGUUCGACGACCGUCAAGUACAGAGGACACGCAGAAAGCCG